UAUGGACAGAACUGUGGGGACGCAGAAGGAGAGCACGAGCCGGAAAUGGAAAAGCCGGUACAAGCGUAUAGCAGUCAUGCAGGCAAAACCGCAUGAAAAAUGUAAAGCGUUAUGUGGAUCGAACAUUAGUAGAGAAGCGUGUGAGCCAGCUGCCAAGAAAAGCCGCUAUUGUUUCAUAAGUACCCGUACCGUAAACCGACACAGGUGGAUGAGGAGAGAAUCCUAAGGCCGGCGGGAGAAGUGUUGUUAAGGAACUCGGCAAAAUGACUCCGUAACUUCGGGAGAAGGAGUGCCACAGAGAUGUGGCCGCAGAGAAAUGGCCCAAGCAACUGUUUAGCAAAAACACAGGUCUAUGCAAAACCGAAAGGUGAGGUAUAUGGGCUGACGCCUGCCCGGUGCUGGAAGGUUAAGAGGAGAGGUUAGAGCAAUCGAAGCUUUGAAUUUAAGCCCCAGUAAACGGCGGCCGUAACAAUAACGGUCCUAAGGUAGCGAAAUUCCUUGUCGGGUAAGUUCCGACCCGCACGAAAGGCGUAAUGAUUUGGGCACUGUCUCAACAACACACCCGGUGAAAUUGAAAUACCAGUGAAGAUGCUGGUUACCUGCGCCAGGACGGAAAGACCCCAUGGAGCUUUACUCCAGUUUGAUACUGGGAUUCGGUACUGUCUGUACAGGAUAGGUGGGAGGCUAGGAAAUGGUGACGCCAGUUGCCAUGGAGCCAACCUUGGGAUACCACCCUUACAGUACUGGGUUUCUAACCUGCAGCCGUAACCCGGCUGGGGGACAAUGUCUGACGGGGAGUUUGACUGGGGCGGUCGCCUCCGAAAGAGUAUCGGAGGCGCUCAAAGGUUCCCUCAGAACGGUUGGAAACCGUUCGAAGAGUGCAAAGGCAGAAGGGAGCUUGACUGCGACACCGACGGGUGGAGCAGAUACGAAAGUAGGACUUAGUGAUCCGGUGGUAUAAAGUGGGAUUGCCAUCGCUCAACGGAUAAAAGCUACCCUGGGAUAACAGGCUUAUCACUCCCAAGAGUUCACAUCGACGGAGUGGUUUGGCACCUCGAUGUCGGCUCAUCGCAUCCUGGAGCUGUAGCAGGUUCCAAGGGUUGGGCUGUUCGCCCAUUAAAGCGGUACGCGAGCUGGGUUCAGAACGUCGUGAGACAGUUCGGUCCCUAUCCGGCGUGGGCGUAGGAUAUUUGAGAGGAGCUGUCCUUAGUACGAGAGGACCGGGAUGGACAAACCUCUGGUGUAUCUGUUGUUUUACCAAAGGCAUGGCGGAGUAGCCAAGUUUGGCAGGGAUAAACGCUGAAGGCAUCUAAGCGUGAAGCCCCCCUCAAGAUAAGAUAUCCCAUCUUCGGAGUAAGACCCCUUGAAGACUACAAGGUUGGUAGGCUUCAGGUGUAAGUGUGGUAACGCACUCAGCUGAGAAGUACUAAUAGGUCGAGGACUUACC
rnacentral:rRNA from 1 species